CAAGAUUGUGUUCCACACCCCCGCAUGGCUCGGACGCGCCUUCCCCAACGUCGCCUUCUAGCCUAAGCCAGUGGGCAAGGGGGACCGCAAGGAGGUGUAGGUGGGCAUGGCCGUAGACGCCACCAACUGAUCAACUUAGCUUUCGGCGCCAGCGGCCGAGCGUGGGCUGUCGAUCUAGCCACGUCGUCACGAGAUCCGAUAAUUUAUGACUAUUUUCUCAAGCUCUGCAAGUUUCUGGAUGAUUUCAGGGCUGUUUUUCCUUUAUGGAUUCUUCAGAGGAGACAAAUGAAGUACCAGUUGAUGAUAGCCAAUUGGACAAGCAUUCAACAGUUGAUAAUGAAUCACCUCUCGAUGCAAAAAUAGAUGAGCAUACCAGACGUAUUCAAGUGUAAUUCUUCGAGAAGGUAUUACCAUUGUAUAUUAGUUAUCUCUACUAUUACUAUUUUAUCACCAUGUGUAAUCAAGGUGAUCUGGACUUUAUUGAAUCAAUUAAAAACAUUCCUUAGGCGACAAUGGAUGUAUAACUUGUAUGGGUUGGCUCUCAAGUAAUUUCUAGAAAAUUUAUGGAAUGUCUAUUUCAACCA